AUUUUUUGGCAAAAUUUAGCUUGCAAGUAGACAAGGAGAUUCCCUCAUAGUGGAAACUAUCAGUUGAUAUUGCCUUAAAUGUAAAGAAGAGUGGCACCAAAAUAGUCUUGGAAGGGCCUGGUGACAUAGUGAUCAAACAAGUGUUGAAGUUUGUGUUAGUUAUGUGUUUUUAUGAUUGGCAGCAAUUUUGUUAAAACUUGAAUCACAGUAAGAUGUUGAGCAAGAUAUCGUGACAUGUUUGCGUGUUUUGUUUUACUUCUUGGAAGA
rnacentral:lncRNA from 1 species